CAAAUUGUAAAAAAAGCAAAACUUUCUUUCUUCUCCUCUCUUCUCACGUUAGUUGUAUGGAAAUAUAGUGGAAUGGAUGAUUCUUCAUCUUCCUUUUCUUAUAUAUACUAAAUAAAAUACUAAUAAAAUAAUAAAAUAUCAUUUAAAAAUCAAAUUAAAAUAUUAAUAAACUAAUAAUUAAUUAAUUAAUUAAUAUAAAAUAUCUCUAAUAUCAUCAUUA
rnacentral:lncRNA from 1 species